UUGUCCGUUUUCACGCUGGGAGAUCAACUUUUUACCGAGGGUCCGGUUCAUACAUACAAAGCGUGCGUUACAAAAGGGUGUAAAAUGCAUGAUGCGAUACACAAAUAUACGACCGAUGUCUCCUGUCAAACAUCAGAUAAAGAUAUGAUUUACGUGGGAACACUUGGUAA